rnacentral:lncRNA from 1 species
GAGGAGCGCGCGGGCGCGGGGGAGCGGCCCGUCGGUCUCCGGGCGGGGGAGGAGCGCGCGGGCGCGGGGGAGCGGCCCGUCGGUCUCCCGGGCGGGGGAGGAGCGCGCGGGCGCGGGGGAGCGGGCCGUCGGUCUCCGGGCGGGGGAGGAGCGCGCCGGUGCGGGGGAGCGGACCGUGCUGUUCCGGGACGAGGGUGCCCUCCCGGAGCGCUGGCGGAGCCGGCAGAGGGCGCGCGGGCCGGGCACGGCGGCGGAGCAGCGGGCAGGGGCGCGCACCGCGUCCUGAAGACGCGGUCGGGGCUGGUCUUUGUUCUAAGAUGGAGGCGAGGCCUGACCAGACCGCGUCUGGAAGGGCUCCCUCUCUGCCCUGCUGCGAACGGACGGGAACAGGACAGGCGGCCGCCGGAGCUCAGGGAGGAGGGCGCGUGUCCCGGAGCCCCGCGCGUCGGGAUCGGUUCCUCCCUGCCCAGGGGCUGUCCGCCAGCACCCAGGAUAUCAGGCUGCCUGUCCGGAAGGUCUGUCCACUUGCCCCUUGCUCCACUUCCCCCGUGGGUUACUGAUGGCCUGCUCUGCUCUCCACAAGGGGCCUUUCGUGGAAGCCCCUGGGAUCCUUUCUAAGGUGAUGAUCCUGGCAGAGGUCAGAGCCAUUCUUGGAUAGAAAACUAAUCAGACGAAAAUGUGAAGCAGCUUGAGAUCAGACAAUGAGAGGAGGCGUGAUUUUUAGGAAGAAUCGUUAAAAGAGCUGCCAUGUGCAAGCUGGAGGCCCAAGAAAGCUGGCAGUGUAGUUCCAGUCGGAGCGCCGGUGAAGGCUGGUGUCCCAGCUGGAAAAGCGGCAGGCGUGGAGAGAGCAACCUGUCCCUCAUGUCCCCUUUUGUUCUGCACUGGCCUCAGUGGACCGGAUGUCCUCUCACAUUGAGGAGACCAACCUGCUUUACCAGCGUAGGGAUUCAAAUGCUAAUCUCACUCAGAAACGCCCUCACAGACACACCCAGAAUAACGUUUAGCCGAACAUCUGAGCCCCUGUGGCCCAGGCAAGUUGGCACAUAAAAUUAACCCAUCACACUGUGCUGUAUUUUUAAGGUUAAAAAAAUAAGUAAGUUAGAGAAAGUGUACAAGGCAAGCUUUUGUUUGUGUAAAAUAUAUACAUAGGCUCCUAUAAGACACAGCCCACAGCUUAGGUCAGAGCCAUGACCUGGUGGGUAUCGUGACAGAGGAGUGCAUGGUGUAUACGCACACACACACACACACACAUAUUUUAAAAGACAAAAUUUAUGAGAUCGAUAGUGUCAUCCUGAUCACUUAUGCCGGGUGUGUGUGGAAAUGAAUACAAAUUUCCAUGAGGACAACAACAAGAAGCUGUCAACUGUGGUUCUCUCUGGGUGGCAGAAUGCUGGAGGUCAGGGAGCAGCGGGAAGAGAUUUUACUUUUCACUUUGUACUCGUCUAUGCUGUUUGAACAUUUCUGUUCUUGUUUUUGAGGAAGAUGGACCCUGAGCUCACAUCCGUGCCCAUCUUCCUCUACUUUGUAUGUGGGACGCCUGCCACAGUGUGGCUUGAUGAGCAGCACAUAGAUCCACGCCCAGGAUCCGAAGCAGCGAACCCCAGGCCGCCGAAGCGGA